rnacentral:rRNA from 1 species
UACGUAGGGUGCGAGCGUUGUCCGGAAUUAUUGGGCGUAAAGAGCUCGUAGGCGGUCUGUCGCGUCGGUCGUGAAAACUUGGGGCUUAACCCUGAGCUUGCGGUCGAUACGGACAGACUAGAGGUAGGUAGGGGAGAAUGGAAUUCCCGGUGUAGCGGUGAAAUGCGCAGAUAUCAGGAGGAACACCGGUGGCGAAGGCGGGUCUCUGGGCCGAUACUGACGCUGAGGAGCGAAAGCGUGGGGAGCGAACCGG